ACAGCCCACCGGAGAAAGAGGAGGAGAAACAGCCCACAGGAGAAAGAGGAGGAGAAACAGCCCACAGGAGAAGAAAGGAAAGAAGAGGAAACAGGAACCCGUUCCGGCUAAGAAGAAGACUGCACUGAAAUCCCAGGAGUGAUUUAUGGCUCAGGAGAAGAAAGUUGAUGAGGACGAGAAAAAGACCAAGAACAAGAGAUAGGUAAGACUAAGGAUGGAGGGGAUUGAAGAGACACCUGCUGUCCUAAAAAGGAACUGCAGUUAAAAUGUGCCUUAAUUCAACCACAUUGGUGUUAGAAGUGGGAAUUAUAUCUCUGUUUGUAUUCAGAAGAAGACAAUCACAGACCUCCUGGCCACGACGGAACCCAAACCGGUCGCUCUAGGCGACCUGCUGAACCUGCUUCUAAAGCACUUCAAAGCACUACCUGGUGCAGCCAGGUAGCCUAGUGGUUAGAGCGUUGGACUAGUAACCAGAAGGUUGCAAGUUCAAAUCCCCAAGCUGACAAGGUACAAGUCUGUCGUUCUGCCCCUGAACAGGCAGAACCCACUGUUCCUAGGCUGUCAUUGAAAAUAAGAAUUUGUUCUUAACUGACUUGCCUAGUUAAAUAAAGGAAAAAAAGAUGAGCACUCCAUCAUCAAGCUGGAGUAGUUUAAACUGCAGGGUGAGUCACCUGACCUCUGUAUUGUUUUACCAGCAGGUCUAAGGGCUGUCAGCCUUUCUGUCAGUCUCUCUAUUUCUUUCUCUCUCUCUCUCUCUUCUAUCUCUCCCUCUGUACCCCUUCUCUCCCUCUCACUCCCCCUCUCUCUCUUUCUCUCUCUCCCGCUCUUACUCAGUCACUUUCUCUGAAUAACGUAAUGUGACUUUUUUCCCUGACGAGUAAUGACCUCACACACGGCCUCUCCUCCUACCUGAAAGAAAAUGUGUACUUGGGUAUAACUUAAUAGUCUGGUGUUGGAUAGUCUGGUGUUGGCUUCCCCUCCUCAUCUCCUCUUCUUCAUCUGACUGACCUGUGGAGGAAGUUAAAAGAGUAGAGGAGCAGCUGAAGCUUGAGGUGACAUGCAUUGGGGAGGGAACACCAGGGAGACUGAAAGCCCUCCUAGGGAAAGGGUUUUAACCCCAGUUUGGCCUUGCCAGCGCUGCGCUUCCUGCUUCUGAACUGGAAGUGGAGGGACCAGAAGCCUCGCAUGAUGGUGGACAUCCCUGAUGUCCAAACUGAUUUGCUGAAGCUGCUGGAUACAGGCAUCUUGAAAGGCUGUAGAGAAGGAAACACAAACACACACCCAUCCAUUUCGAACUGGACCUCUUCUGUUCUCACACAAACACCACAGUUAUUGUAGUAAACAAAAACUGAAACAAAAAUUUGGAAAACAAUUGCAAAACAGACUGCAAAACAAAAUCAAAUUAAAUUAAAAUAAAUAACAAUUAUUUA